UGAUCGACAUCCCGGAGUGACCGUGA
rnacentral:piRNA from 1 species